UAGGGAAUCUUCCGCAAUGGACGAAAGUCUGACGGAGCAACGCCACGUGAGUGAAGAAGGAUUUCGGUUCGUAAAACUCUGUUGUUAGGGAAGAAAAAAUGUAUAGUAACUAUAUACAAAAGAGACGGUACCUAACCAGAAAGCCACGGCUAACUACGUGCCAGCAGCCGCGGUAAUACGUAGGUGGCAAGCGUUGUCCGGAAUUAUUGGGCGUAAAGCGCGCGCAGGUGGUUUAGAAAGUCUGAUGUGAAAGCCCACGGCUCAACCGUGGAGGGUCAUUGGAAACUAAUAAACUUGAGUGCAGGAGAGAAAAGUGGAAUUCCUAGUGUAGCGGUGAAAUGCGUAGAGAUUAGGAGGAACACCGGUGGCGAAAGCGGCUUUUUGGCCUGCAACUGACACUGAGGCGCGAAAGCGUGGGGAGCAAACAGG
rnacentral:rRNA from 1 species